rnacentral:tRNA from 1 species
GUCCAGGGGCGGGAAUCGAACCCACAACGUUCCGCUUACCGGGCAGAUGCCAUGUCCACUAGGCUACCCUGGA